rnacentral:rRNA from 1 species
UUAGAGUUUGAUCAUGGCUCAGGACGAACGCUGGCGGCGUGCCUAAUACAUGCAAGUCGAACGCGUCCCGGUUGAUGAAGUUGAGUGCUUGCACUUGAUUGAUUCAACUUGGUGACGAGUGGCGAACUGGUGAGUAACACGUGGGUAACCUGCCCCGAAGCGGGGGAUAACAUUUGGAAACAGGUGCUAAUACCGCAUAACAACCAAAACCACCUGGUUUUGGUUUGAAAGACGGCUUCGGCUGUCACUUUGGGAUGGACCCGCGGCGUAUUAGCUAGUUGGUGAGGUAACGGCUCACCAAGGCGAUGAUACGUAGCCGACCUGAGAGGGUAAUCGGCCACAUUGGGACUGAGACACGGCCCAAACUCCUACGGGAGGCAGCAGUAGGGAAUCUUCCACAAUGGACGUAAGUCUGAUGGAGCAACGCCGCGUGAGUGAUGAAGGGUUUCGGCUCGUAAAACUCUGUUGUUGGAGAAGAACGGGUGUCAGAAUAACUGUUGACAUCGUGACGGUAUCCAACCAGAAAGCCACGGCUAACUACGUGCCAGCAGCCGCGGUAAUACGUAGGUGGCAAGCGUUGUCCGGAUUUAUUGGGCGUAAAGCGAGCGCANGCGGUUUUUUAGGUCUGAUGUGAAAGCCUUCGGCUUAACCGGAGAAGUGCAUCGG